GUGUACAUACACAUAAAAAGUAGAACAAUAAAAUAAUGCAUCUUCUUCUAAAGGUGCUGUUGAACCAGGAUCCACUGAUAUAAUUUUUUUAAAUUUAUAUUGUGCUUUAAUAUCUAGCAGUGCAGCUCAAGUAAUUACUCUUGGAGUUGUGCUAAAUCAAUAUGCUUUCUUGGAAAAAACAUACUUCUGUAAUAGUCAUUCUUCUCACUCUGUUAUGUGGGAUAUAUAGUCAUUUAUUUUUAUGAUUUUAUAUAUAUGUUUUCUUUGAACUCUCAGUAAAUUUUGUUACAUUCCUCAUAUACUCAAUUUUUAAUUUAUUCUUCAUAUAUUCAUUUUUAACAUUAAGGUUAUAUCUGGAUGUUUUGAAAUGGAGCAAAACCUUAUGUAUUUUUCUGUUAGCUACUUUGGGGAGGACAGGAAAGCCUGCUACUUUAGUACAUUUAUCUUUAACCAGCCAUUUUACUAAACAUCAUGAAGAUAAUCAGUUUUUAAUUAUCUUGGGAUUUCUUGAUAGACAAUUACAUCAUCUCCAAAUAAUGCUUUUUGUUUUCUCUUUGUCUUUAAUAAUGUUCCUAUAUCCGUACUAGAAUUGUAUUAACUAAUAUAAUGGUGGAGAGAUCCUUGUUCUGUUUCUGAUUUUGAUGGGAUCCUGCCACUUAGUUUAGUUAUUUGUCCAGUAAUGCUGGUGCUUAUUAAAUGACAUAAUUCAUGUUUUGGGUGAAUUCUCUAGGUAGCUAUUAAGUUCCUGUGAAUUAGGCCAACCUCUGCCAAUACAGCUAACUCUCUGGGUCUCGUUUCAGCAUCCGCUGCCACUAAUCAAGGAACUUGGUCAGGGCCAAAAAAAAAAAGCUGUCUUAUGUGGAUUUUGUGAAGACCAUAACAGACUGGGGCUGCUUCUCUCUGGAUAUGGCCAGGUGUCUAGAAACUUCUGCCCUCCCACAAACCACAAAAGAAUCUUGACUAAGCAAAGAACAGAAAGUGGGUCUUCUAAAAAAUUCUGUGCAAAGAUACUAAUAGCACCUAUUACCCUCUGCAGUAUACUUUUCUCCUACUCCUAUUACAGUUCAGUUCCUCACUCAGGUCAGAGUUAGUCAUUGAAAAAUGCCCAGUCCAAUUCUAGGCCUACACAAGCCACCCAAGUUGGGAAUCCAAAGGACUCAAUAGCAGUGCCAAGGGCAAGGGUGUGACUGAACAUUCACAAGUCGGGCGGCUUUAUUUCCCUCCCCAGUCUCCAUCAGAUUCCCCCCACCAUUUUUUUAUGUGCACCAAUAAUAUUUUGUCAAGAUAAUAUCAAUUUAUUGGCCAACAUAUCUCUGAGGCCCUCCAAAGCCACCAAAUAGGUCACUGUUCUUAAGUUCCUUCUGGAGCUGCUAUGGGAAGAACUGAAAAUAUGGAGAGGGCCACCUUGAGUCAUUGCCAUCAUGAGAAAUUUUCCAGAAAGCCUUUUGAGAUGUCAAAAUACCUUCAACUUGCCCUCUUUUCUGAAAGGAUCCUUAGCCAUCUUUGAGCCUGCAUCAAUAAACUCAUAUAACCUUUUUGGAGUCAAACCACUGGGGCCUGGGAGGGCAUGUGCCGUGAGCUAAUUGUAUGUGAGACCAUGAGUGGGCUUUGCAGAGACUCAACCCAAAGUCUCCAAGCCAACACAAGCUCCAUGAACCAAGAGGAGGGGGAAAGGGACAUGCACAGGUGUUUAUCCUCCCCUGGAUCCUCAUAAUCCUAGCUCUAUACUGGACAACGUGUUUUUGCUAGCUCUGAAAUCUGAGGAUAGUACCUCCUUGUUAGGUUAGUGUUUCUAAGACACUGAGAGCUCAUGACAGCCAAGGACGGGGAGAGCAGCCGACUUGUCUCAUGAGUAAUGGCUACUUGCAAGGCUUUCUUUGGUGAUAGCGGGGAAGCAACACCUCAGGUACCAUGGAGUACUCUCCAUGGAGCGUUGGGUCUCUAGAAAGCAUUAUACUUCAAGUAAAAUGGUUAUGAGCAAGUGGACCUCAGAAUGACUUAAACAACAUUUUAAUCUACUUGAACCUGGUUCUGAUGAAAACAGGGAAGUAUGAGUCUAACCCAGUCCUCCACUGGGACCAACUCAGAUGUGCCCUGGAAGAUUUGAAAAGAAGCACAGCUGUGGACCCAGGAGUGAAUUUCUGAUUUACUUGCAGGAAAUAACCACAUUCUUUUUCAUCUCAUUCGAGAGAGACAUUCCUGUUAAAAUCACAGCUUUAAAUGUAGCCUAUAGAAGCAAGAAGAAGUGUCAGUGGAAUGCAUUGAUAUUUCUCAGUUUAGAAGAGAGUGAAUAGUUAAAUUUAGCCUUAUCAAAAAAAAAUGCUUCACUUACUCCUGUUCAAGGAAUUUUAGUAACUCUAACAUAGGAUAAAGCAGUGGAGCCGUUCACAGGAGACCCCCAUGACCAUUGUGAAACGGGGAGGAUUAAUAUCUAUGCACACGUGCAGCCCACUCAGGACCAGGGGAAUCUCGAUGCUUCAGGUUUGGUUACAGCAGGGGUCCCCAACCUUUUUGGUACCAGGGACUGGUUUCAUGCAAGACAACUUUUCCACUGGCUGGGGUUGGGGGGCAUGGUUUUGGGAUGAUUCAAGCACAUUAAACUUAUGGUGCACUGUAUUUCUAUGAGUAUUACAUCGGCUCCACCUCAGAUCAUCAGAUAUUAGGUCCCAGAGCUUGGGGACUCCUGUUGUGGCAGGACUACGGAGCAGUUUUACAGCAGGUGUUUUCAACUUUGGCUGCACACUGGACUCACCUGAGGAAUUUUAAAAUACUGAUGCUGAGGUCCCACCCCCUGACCCUCAAGAUCCUAAUUUAGUUGGCCUGGGUGUGGCCUGAGAGCCAGGAGUUUCCAAAGUUCCCAAGGUGAUAGUGAUGCACGACUCCAGUUGAGAAGCCCUGUAGAGACGUUGAGAAGCAGGGCUCACUACCCUGUGUUUGCAAAUAAAGUUUCUUUGGAAUAUAGCCACCCUUAAUGUAUAUGUUGCCUGUGGCUGCUUUCCAGCUAUGAUGGCAGAGUUGAGUAGGUGCAAUGGAGGCCUUAAAACCUGCAAUGCCAAACAUCUUUACUACUUGGUCCUUGAGGAGCUACUUUGAAGAGAAACUUUAGGAAGACGUUCAUUGUCAUGUGAAAAGCCACUUUCAAGGGAUGCUUGCUCAAGUCAUCCACGACAUCUGGAAACUCAAGAUACUUGUUGGAUGCUUACCCUAGAACAGCUCGUUGCAGCCUACAUUUAAGGGAACUACCAGUCCUCCCUUCACUUCAAAUAGCCUAUUCAUCUCAGCAUAAAAACGACUAAAAUACACCCAAAGAAUAUGCUGCAUCUGCACCCAAGAAGCGGACAGCAGGAGUCAGCUUCUACCAACAGGCACCAAUAUAGCAGGCUUUGAAAAGCUCCAUCCAAAACAAAGACUCUAAAAAACUCUUAAAUAUUUAUUUUUAAAAAACAGCAAUUAUUUGGUUUCACUUCUA